rnacentral:rRNA from 1 species
UACGUAGGUGGCAAGCGUUAUCCGGAUUUAUUGGGCGUAAAGGGAACGCAGGCGGUCUUUUAAGUCUGAUGUGAAAGCCUUCGGCUUAACCGGAGUAGUGCAUUGGAAACCGGGCGACUUGAGUGCAGAAGAGGACAGUGGAACUCCAUGUGUAGCGGUGGAAUGCGUAGAUAUAUGGAAGAACACCAGUGGCGAAGGCGGCUGUCUGGUCUGCAACUGACGCUGAGGCUCGAAGGCAUGGGUAGCGAACAGG